AACGAACGCUGGCGGCGCGCCUAAUACAUGCAAGUCGAGCGAGAAGGUGUAGCAAUACACUUGUAAAGCGGCGAACGGGUGAGGAAUGCAUGGGUAACCUACCCUCGAGUGGGGAAUAACUAGCCGAAAGGUUAGCUAAUACCGCAUACGUUUCCGGAACUUCGGUUUCGGAAAGAAAGCAAUACCGUGGGUAUUGCGCUCCUGGAUGGGCUCAUGUCCUAUCAGCUUGUUGGUGAGGUAACGGCUCACCAAGGCUUCGACGGGUAGCUGGUCUGAGAGGACGAUCAGCCACACUGGCACUGCGACACGGGCCAGACUCCUACGGGAGGCAGCAGUAAGGAAUAUUGCGCAAUGGACGAAAGUCUGACGCAGCGACGCCGCGUGGGGGAUGAAGGUCUUCGGGAUUGUAAACCCCUUUCGGGAGGGAAGAUGGAGUGGGUAACCACUUGGACGGUACCUCCAGAAGUAGCCACGGCUAACUUCGUGCCAGCAGCCGCGGUAA
rnacentral:rRNA from 1 species